GGUGGAGGAAAGUGGCGUGUGCGAGAAUGAAUGGUGAAGUGUGUGUGAAAUGUGGAGAAUGAGAAGUGAAGCAGUGAAGUGAAGGGUGGAGAAUGAAGGUGGAGGAAGAAGGUUAAUGGUGAUUGAAGAAGAUGAAAGUGAGAGAGUGAUGAAGAUGGAUAAUGGUGGAUGGUGAGUGUGUAGAAUGAAUCGAGAGUUCUCCCCGUGAAGAGAGUUAUCACUACUCUGGCUUUAUCGAGUUUGCAGGUUAGUCACUCUUCUCAAUUUCUGAUUUUCUGUUAGUUAGGAGUUAGUUAGGGUUUGUUAUGACUUGGUUAGGUUAGUUAUUGAGUAACUGAUUCUGUUAUGAAGCUGGAAAGUAGUUAAGGUUCUGUAAAGUGGUUGUUAUGAAUUGGCUAGUGAAUGGUUUUGGUUUAAAAAUGUAUGGUCAGAAUGUAGUUUGAUUGCUGUUAGUUGAAGGGAAAUUCUGUUGGGGUAGUUAUGGUUAGUUAGAUGCUGUUAGGAUUAGUUACAGGUUAAUUGGGAGAUCAGUUAGUAGUAGUAAAACAGUUAGGAGUGUUAGGGACUGAUUUAUGGGGGGUUUGUUAUAUGUUAUGUGACCGUUAGUUCUGUUUUGGUGGUAACAGUUAGGAAAUUAUUAACUGUUGUAAAAACUGUUGAAUGAACUGGUUUUGUGAGAUUGAAUGAAUUGUAUGCAGGGCUGAUUUUGACUUUUCUGUUAUGAGCAGAGCUGAUGCACUGCCUUUUUCUUUUGUAGAAACUAAUGCCAAGUUUUUCUGAACUGACUUCUGGAAUCUAAAUACAAAUGUAUGGUUUGAAAUUGUGUGGCAGCAGACCGUGGCAGGCAUGGUUUGAAGUUAAUGACUGUUUCGCAGGGUUGUAUAUGGGACGAUUCCCGAGCUGCUUUUCUGAGCUGUAUAGAUUUGAAGCGCUUGGUGAAUGUGAAGAGACUUGGCAUGGUUGGAUGAGGAAAGCGAAUCAAGGCUAAUUAUAGGAGCAAGUCACCCUAGGUUUAGGGAUUUGAUUUUUUAUAAUGAAUUUUGUAAGGAUUGAAUUUGGAGCAUGAAAUGUGUAAUGGUUUUUGGUAAUGUAAUGGAUAUUUGAAUUUGGUUGAUGAUAGUGGAUGAACCCAAGAUGAAUGUUCUAAA